UGUGGUUAGCCUAGGGCAGAAAGAAACGAGUUGUCUACAUCCUGAGAGUUGGGCAACAUAAGUGAAUGUCAUACUUACUAAAAACAGAGUGUUAGUGAUUAGCUGCAACAAUUUACAGAUAAAUUUUUAAUUGUGUUUUUAAUUGCUCCUUAUCAGGAGAGCUAAAAAGACAUUUCUCGCACUAUGGACCGGAAGAAUAUAUGUGGAUUAAUUUUAAUUCUUGUUUUGGACGAAGUUUUAUGUACCCCUCUAAGGGAUUUUCAACUGAAAGAGCAUAACAUCUACAGUAUUAGUGAACAAGAAUCUAGACAAUUCAUAGGAUCUAGUGUUCUAGGUGGUUUAAUGUUGCCACUGUUUUUCACAUUAGCUGUGUCAAGAAUCAUGUCUAGAAUUCCUAGUACAUUUCAGCGAAUAAUAGCUGCUCUAAGACCAUCCUACAGAUCUCUAACUGAUUAUCAAUUUGAACAAUUAGAGGAAACUCUUCAACGCUUGGAAAAUUCUCAUGCAUUUAAACAUUUCAGAUGAAGACAUUACCUGUGUGUGCUUAAGAGACACCAUUUUUGUAAUAUACUAUCUACCAAUAAAUAUUUAGACACCAGUGACAGAAAAAGAAAACAAAUUUAUUCAUAUAGUUGAUAGAGCCUCCCUGAUAAAUAAAUACAGUCUCAACUCUCAACUGUAUGCUUUCUAUAAAUCUUUAUAUGAUGGCUAGAGGCAUUUUUUUUCACUUAGCUUGGAAAAGAGUUAUAAAUUCUUUCACCUAUUUGGAAUGGUAAUUGCACCAAUUAAUUUUGUGAUUCAAUUUGCUCCAUAGUUUCUGGAUAUGGUUAAGGUUUGGACUAUGGGCAGAGCAGUUCUUUUGGUUUAUUCCAUUGUCUCAGUACUAAUUCAUGGCGGAUCAGGCAACAUGAAAACUAGUGUUAUUCUCCUGGAAAUAACAGGGAUCCAUAACCUGAAAACUGUCACAUCAUAGGAAGCACACUAUCAUUCAAAAAAGUGGAAUAAGCUUCAGCAUUGAACUUACCCUGAAUUUGGAAAAAGAAAAACACUAGGAGAAACAAUCUCAGUCUAUAAUAUCACCUCCAAUUAUAUGCAUGGGUUCUCAAAUCAUUAUCUGUAGGUAGUGUAUGAAACCCCAAAGAAGGAUAAUUUAAAAAAAGUAAUAAAAAAUCUUUUUCAAAAAUGAUUAAAUAAAAUUGGUAUAAAAUUAUAGCAAUGCAUAAAUUUCCUUUUUAAAUGUUUUUUUCCUUCAUUUUUAUAAUAUAACUUAUAAAAUUCAUCUUUCAGCAUAAUGUACCUCAAAAUAAAAGUGAUUUUAAACAUGAACUUUUAAAAGUGAAAACUAGUGAAUCCUUAUGUGGUAUAUAAAGAAUCAAACAUGAUUCAGAUUGUUUAAUGUACUUUUUUUGCAGUUGAAAAAAUGUAAAUAAAAGUCUAUAGCGAAUCGAA